AUUGAACGCUGGCGGCAAGCCUAACACAUGCAAGUCGAACGGAGUGGCGGACGGGUGAGUAACACGUGGGAACCUACCCAUCAGAGGGGGAUAACACUUGGAAACAGGUGCUAAUACCGCAUACUGAUGGAUGGACCCGCGGUGCAUUAGCUAGUUGGUGAGGUAAAGGCUCACCUAGGCGACGAUCCCUAGCUGGUCUGAGAGGAUGACCAGCCACACUGGAACUUAGACACGGUCCAGACUCCUACGGGAGGCAGCAGUGGGGAAUAGUGGACAAUGGGCGAAAGCCUGAUCCAGCCAUGCCGCGUGUGUGAAGAAGGGCUUCGGAUUGUAAAGCACUUUAAGUUGGGAGGCGUUACCAACAGAAUAAGCACCGGCUAACUUCGUGCCAGCAGCCGCGGUAAUAC
rnacentral:rRNA from 1 species